rnacentral:rRNA from 1 species
GAUGAACGCUGACAGAAUGCUUAACACAUGCAAGUCAACUUGAAUUUGGGUUUUUAACUUAGGUUUGGGUGGCGGACGGGUGAGUAACGCGUAAAGAACUUGCCUCACAGCUAGGGACAACAUUUGGAAACGAAUGCUAAUACCUAAUAUUAUGAUAAUAGGGCAUCCUAUAAUUAUGAAAGCUAUAAGCGCUGUGAGAGAGCUUUGCGUCUCAUCAGCUAGUUGGAGAGGUAACGGCUCACCAAGGCGAUGAUGGGUAGCCGGCCUGAGAGGGUGAUCGGCCACAAGGGGAUUGGGACACGGCCAUAACUCCAACGGGAGGAAGAAGUGGGGAUUAUUGGAAAAGGGACCGAGAGUCUGAUCCAGAAAUUCUGUGUGGAAGAUGAAGUUUUUCGGAAUGUAAAGUGCUUUCAGUUGACAAGAAGCGAGUGACGGUACCAACAGAAGAAGCACCGGCUAAAUACGUG